UUCCGGUUGAUCCCGCCGGACCUGACUGCUAUCGGAUUGAUACUAAGCCAUGCGAGUCUUUGUAGUAAUACAAGGCAUACGGCUCAGUAACGCGUAGUCAACCUACCCUAUGGACAAGAAUAAUCUCGGGAAACUGAGCAUAAUUCUUGAUAGAUCAUAAUGCCUGGAAUGGUUUAUGGUUAAAAUGAUUCGUCGCCAUAGGAUGGGACUGCGGCCUAUCAGCUUGUUGGUGAGGUAAUGGCCCACCAAGGCGAUUACAGGUACGGGCUCUGAGAGGAGAAGCCCGGAGAUGGGUACUGAGACAAGGACCCAGGCCCUAUGGGGCGCAGCAGGCGAGAAAACUUUGCAAUGUGCGAAAGCACGACAAGGUUAAUCCGAGUGAUUUCUGCUAAAGAAAUCUUUUGCAAGUCAUAAAACCACUAGUGAAUAAGGGGUGGGCAAGUUCUGGUGUCAGCCGCCGCGGUAAAACCAGCACCUCAAGUGGUCAGGAGGAUUAUUGGGCCUAAAGCAUCCGUAGCCUGCUCUGUAAGUUUUCGGUUAAAUCCAUGUGCUCAACGCAUGGGCUGCCGAAAAUACUGCAUAGCUAGGGAGUGGGAGAGGUAGACGGUACUCGGUAGGAAGGGGUAAAAUCCUUUGAUCUAUCGAUGACCACCUGUGGCGAAGGCGGUCUACCAGAACACGUUCGACGGUGAGGGAUGAAAGCUGGGGGAGCAAACCGGAUUAGAUACCCGGGUAGUCCCAGCUGUAAACGAUGCAGACUCGAUGAUGCAUUGGCAUAUAGCCAGUGCAGUGUCGCAGGGAAGCCGUUAAGUCUGCCGCCUGGGAAGUACGUACGCAAGUAUGAAACUUAAAGGAAUUGGCGGGGGAGCACCACAAGGGGUGAAGCCUGCGGUUCAAUUGGAUUCAACGCCGGG
rnacentral:rRNA from 1 species